rnacentral:lncRNA from 1 species
CGAGGACUCUUUAACAAAAUACCCCCCGAAGGGGUAUAUUCUAUUCUGGGCCAUCGAUCUCUGAUCGGACGGCUCACGAUUGCUCCAGGGGAGCCAGGCGGCAGCCAGCCGGCUGUCUGAGCCCCGGCGCGGCGGCGCCAUGGCCGGAGGCUGAGCUCCUCGCCGACGUCCGUGGAUCUCACCAUCCUGUGCACCAAAUCGAAAAGCAAGACCAUGGGCGCGUGGAGGAGGAGAAGGCGAGCUCACCACGGGGUUCGGCUCGGCCUGGGAAGGAGCAGAGAGAGUGCGCAGGGCGGCGGCUCGGUUUCUAAUUCGGCGAGAUCUAAAACCGCACGGUUUAAGGUGGCUAGGGCUUGGCUUCGCGAUAUAGUUGAAAAGAGGGAGCUGCUGGGGUUGGGAUCAAGCUUUAUCGUGCUCGGUUUGCUCCUUAGGCAAGGAAAUCACGGGAUUGAUCUCCUCCCUGGAGUCGUGCUCGGCUACGAACAGGGAAAGAAGAAGGGGAAGGCGGUGCUGUUCCUCGGGCCCCACUCGUCAUAGGAAGAAAGGCAGGGUCACGGCUGUCAGCGAGUCAAUGAAGGGAAAGGGGAGGGGUGCUGGCCGCACAGCUGGGCCGCGGGGGAGAGCGCUGGGGCGCAAGCUGGGCUGAGAAAGAAGUGGGCCGGGGCGCAGGGGAGAAAAAGAGAAGGGGGAGAGGGGAGCUGGGCCGCGAAGGUCAGGGGGAAAGCUGGGCUGGCUGGGGUUUUCUCUUUUAUUUUUUUUCUGUUUUCCUUUUCUGUUUUCUAAAGCUUUUUUUAUAAAAAGAAUUUUGAGAGCAACCAAAUUCCAACCAAAAGGAAUUAGCACAAAAAUAAAAUAUACCUCAGCAUGAAUGCAUAGAUAAGUUUCUAUCUCUAUGUUAAAUUUUAAUUUCAACAAAAAUAAUUUUAUUUACUAGAUUAAAUGCCCACAAAAUGCUUAAAUAAAUCCAAUUAAAUUCAAUUAAUUCAAAAGCAAAUUUUGGGUGUUACACAGCGGUGCCACACAGCAGCACGCUUUAGUUCUGGCUCAUAAUACCAGCCGGGACUAAAGGGUCCCCUGGUUUUUUUUUUUCUUUUUUUCAGUUUUAUUUUUAGUUUUGUUUAUUUAUUUAAUAGGUUUUCCAAUAUGUACUCUUUGAUGCUAAUAUAUAUAUAUAUAUAUAUAUAUAUAUAUAUAUAUAUAUAACAUAUGACAAUAAGCUAAUUGCAUGCAUAUAUAAUUGAAUUAUAUAACUAAAUAUAUAAAAAAAUAUGCACAUAAAAUUACAAGCUAUAUAUAAAGUUAGUACUCUAAACCUAUUACAAGUUGUACUCCAUCAUCCAAAUAUCUACAGGGCAUACAAAUGAUCAUCAUUGUUUGGAAUCGUCGUCUCGUUAGGAUUAUAAUGGAUCUAGCCGCUUGAAUUUAUGACUUGUUCCCAAAGAAAUCCUGCUACUGCCUCUUGUAUUGCUUGGAGUUGUUCAUGUUGCAUGAGUUGUUGCUCCAACCAUUCAGUCUUCAAUUUAAAUUACAAGAAGAUAUUAGUUAUAUCAAGAUUAUCAAUAGUAAUUCGAGAGAAAAGGAAAAGAGAAAUGUGUUACAUACUUUGAGUUAUUCUUCGGGAAUUCUAUUUGCUUCUACCAUAAUAUACUUGCAAACGUAGUAUCCACAUAACUUAUUACCCGAUUCUUGUCUCAAAAUCCAUAGUACGAUGUAAAGAUUCAUCUCGUAAAAAGACAAGAUAUAUGACAUAUAUGAUAUAACAAGGAUACACGUACAUUGACGAAGGAUAAACUUACUUGUCGAUGUAUUAUUUUUAGUCGCGCCCUAUAUUGAGUAGAUGUUCUCGACCAAUGAAUCUUUUCCAAACCCUAAACCAAUGAUAUGAAACAAGAGAUUUGGAUCGUUAAGUAUACAUAUAUACAAGCUUAGUCUACUUUACGGAUGCAAUGGACCGAAAUUACCUUUGGAUGAUGUCUAUCAUAUCUUGGUCAUCUUGUUGCGGUUUCUUCAUUGAGUCAUAGAUUACCACCUUACUUUCACUGAGGUCAAUGACUAUUAUUAUCCAGUGAAAGCUGUUCAUAGACAUGAAUCGUAGAUCAUGGUUAAGUAAAAUUACUGUUGCACACUUGCAUGUUAGCUAUAUAUGACUCACUUGAAGUUGUAGAGGAAGAGUAUUCUUCUUUUGUAUUUUUGGUUCACGAAGAACCUCAUAAGAUUCGUACACAUGUCAUUGAUCCAAGUCGCUGAAGGGUUUGGAUCCUUGAAAACAACGUAAGGAUAAAUAAAUCCAAUAGCAUUGUCGUUUCUGCAUCUAAGCUAAGUCAUAUGGAGCCUGCAUAU